rnacentral:siRNA from 1 species
UGUUUCGGACUGCAUAACAUA